rnacentral:rRNA from 1 species
GAUGAACGCUGGCGGCGUGCCUAAUACAUGCAAGUCGAGCGAACAGACGAGGAGCUUGCUCCUCUGACGUUAGCGGCGGACGGGUGAGUAACACGUGGAUAACCUACCUAUAAGACUGGGAUAACUUCGGGAAACCGGAGCUAAUACCGGAUAAUAUAUUGAACCGCAUGGUUCAAUAGUGAAAGACGGUUUUGCUGUCACUUAUAGAUGGAUCCGCGCCGCAUUAGCUAGUUGGUAAGGUAACGGCUUACCAAGGCGACGAUGCGUAGCCGACCUGAGAGGGUGAUCGGCCACACUGGAACUGAGACACGGUCCAGACUCCUACGGGAGGCAGCAGUAGGGAUUCUUCCGCAAUGGGCGAAAGCCUGACGGAGCAACGCCGCGUGAGUGAUGAAGGUCUUCGGAUCGUAAAACUCUGUUAUUAGGGAAGAACAAAUGUGUAAGUAACUAUGCACGUCUUGACGGUACCUAAUCAGAAAGCCACGGCUAACUACGUG